GACAGAGGUGCCGAGCGUUAGGCGGAAUCACUGGGCUUAAAGCGUGUGUAGGCGGAUCGUUAAGUGCCUUGUGAAAUCCCACGGCUCAACCGUGGAACUGCUGGGCAUACUGCGGGUCUUGGGCCAACUAGGGGCAGCCGGAACAAGCGGUGGAGCGGUGAAAUGCGUAGAUAUCGCUUGGAACGCCGAAGGUGAAAAACAGGCUGCUGGGGUUGCGCCGACGCUGAGACACGAAAGCCAGGGGAGCAAACGGG
rnacentral:rRNA from 1 species